GUGAGGAAUUUUGCGCAAUGGGGGCAACCCUGACGCAGCGACGCCGCGUGGAGGACGAAGUCUUUCGGGAUGUAAACUCCUGUCAGUGGGGACGAUAAUGACGGUACCCACAGAGGAAGCACCGGCUAACUCCGUGCCAGCAGCCGCGGUAAGACGGAGGGUGCAAGCGUUGUUCGGAAUUACUGGGCGUAAAGCGUAUGUAGGCGGCAAGUUAAGUUCAAUGUUAAAGCCCACGGCUCAACCGAGGAGUUGCAUUGAAUACUGGCUAGCUAGAGGGUGUUAGAGGAAGACGGAAUUCCCAGUGUAGCGGUGAAAUGCGUAGAUAUUGGGAGGAACAUCGGUAGCGAAAGCGGUCUUCUGGGACAUACCUGACGCUGAGGUACGAAAGCGUGGGGAGCAAACGGGAUUAGAAACCCGGGUAGUCC
rnacentral:rRNA from 1 species